UACAGAGGGGGCAAGCGUUAUUCGGAAUUAUUGGGCGUAAAGGGCGCGUAGGCGGCUUUUCAAGUGACGGGUGAAAUCCCUCGGCUUAACCGAGGAGCUGCCUGUCAGACUGGAAGGCUUGAGACCGGGAGAGGUGAGUGGAAUUCCCAGUGUAGCGGUGAAAUGCGUAGAUAUUGGGAGGAACACCAGUGGCGAAGGCGGCUCACUGGACCGGAACUGACGCUGAGGCGCGAAAGCGUGGGGAGCAAACAGG
rnacentral:rRNA from 1 species